rnacentral:rRNA from 1 species
GAUGAACGCUGGCGGCGUGCCUAAUACAUGCAAGUCGAGCGAACGGACGAGAAGCUUGCUUUUCUGAUGUUAGCGGCGGACGGGUGAGUAACACGUGGAUAACCUACCUAUAAGACUGGGAUAACUUCGGGAAACCGGAGCUAAUACCGGAUAAUAUUUUGAACCGCAUGGUUCAAAAGUGACAGACGGUCUUGCUGUCACUUAUAGAUGGAUCCGCGCUGCAUUAGCUAGUUGGUAAGGUAACGGCUUACCAAGGCAACGAUGCAUAGCCGACCUGAGAGGGUGAUCGGCCACACUGGAACUGAGACACGGCCCAGACUCCUACGGGAGGCAGAAGUAGGGAAUCUUCCGAAAUGGGCGAAAGCCUGACGGAGGAACGCCGCGGGAGUGAUGAAGGUCUUCGGAUCGUAAAACUCUGUUAUUAGGGAAGAACAAAUGUGUAAGUAACUGUGCACAUCUUGACGGUACCUAAUCAGAAAGCCACGGCUAACUACGUG